CACAGCUGAGUGGCUGUUUGAGGGUAAAGAAGUGGAUAAAGACAACCGAGAUAUGAGGACAUCACAGUCUCCCUGUUAUGCCUCUGUGACCUUUGAUACUUCUCUCUCCAUCUACACAUCAAGAUAUGAGUUAUUUAAAUGUGAAGUGACUGACGGUGUUAAACUGCAUCAGUUUUCCUUCAGAUCUCAAACCUCAGGCGAAGAAACAAAAACAGCAACAACAGAAUCAACAACUGAAAAUAACAUAACAGCAGGUGCCAAUGAUGCUUCACCUAAACUAAAAGACUGGUGGUUGAGGUUCACCAUUGUGUCUGUGGGUUUAGCUGCACUCAUAAUAAUUGUUGUGGCCGUCAACAUGUGGAUGAGAA